UACGUAGGGGCCUAGCGUUGUCCGGAUUUAUUGGGCGUAAAGAGCUCGUAGGCGGCUUGGUAAGUCAGGUGUGAAAUCUCCACGCUCAACGUGGAGGGGCCACCUGAUACUGCCAUGGCUUGAGUCCGGUAGGGGAGUGUGGAAUUCCCGGUGUAGCGGUGAAAUGCGCAGAUAUCGGGAGGAACACCCGUAGCGAAGGCGGCACUCUGGGCCGGUACUGACGCUGAGGAGCGAAAGCGUGGGGAGCAA
rnacentral:rRNA from 1 species